rnacentral:lncRNA from 1 species
UUGAGUAUUGGCGAUACUCAAGUUUUGUAGUUGUCAUUAUGUAGACAAAUUUGCUAGUUUUACAUUUUUCACGAAAAUAUGCAAAAAAAAAUGCAAAAGAAAAACAAUAAAUAAACAAACAAACGAAAAAAUAAAGAAAAUACUAGAAGGAAAAAAACCAAAAUAUAUUUAAAAAAUACAAAAGAAAAACAGUAAAAAAAACGCAAAAGAAAAGCAAUAAAAAGAAAUGCUAAAAAAAA